AGAGUUUGAUCCUGGCUCAGGAUGAACGCUAGCGGCAGGCCUAACACAUGCAAGUCGAGGGAGGAGCUUUCGGGCUUCGACCGGCGUACGGGUGCGUAACGCGUAUACAAUCUGCCUUUCACAUAGGGAUAGCCCGAAGAAAUUUGGAUUAAUACCUAAUGGUAUAUAGGGGUGGCAUCACUUUUAUAUUAAAGCUGAGGCGGUGAAAGAUGAGUAUGCGUUCUAUUAGCUAGUUGGAGAGGUAACGGCUCCCCAAGGCGACGAUAGAUAGGGGUUCUGAGAGGGAUGUCCCCCACACUGGUACUGAGAUACGGACCAGACUCCUACGGGAGGCAGCAGUGAGGAAUAUUGGACAAUGGUCGGAAGACUGAUCCAGCCAUGCCGCGUGCAGGAAGACGGCCUUAUGGGUUGUAAACUGCUUUUGCAGGGGAAGAAUAAGGACUACGCGUAGUUUGAUGACGGUACUCUGCGAAUAAGCAUCGGCUAACUCCGUGCCAGCAGCCGCGGUAAUACGGAGGAUGCGAGCGUUAUCCGGAUUUAUUGGGUUUAAAGGGUGCGUAGGCGGCCUGUUAAGUCAGCGGUGAAAUCUAGGAGCUUAACUCCUAAAUUGCCAUUGAUACUGGCGGGCUUGAGUGUAGAUGAGGUAGGCGGAAUGCGUGGUGUAGCGGUGGAAUGCAUAGAUAUCACGCAGAACUCCGAUUGCGAAGGCAGCUUACUAAGGUACAACUGACGCUGAAGCACGAAAGCGUGGGUAUCAAACAGGAUUAGAUACCCUGGUAGUCCACGCAGUAAACGAUGAUAACUGGGCGUAUGCGAUAUACAGUAUGCUCCUAAGCGAAAGCGUUAAGUUAUCCACCUGGGGAGUACGCCGGCAACGGUGAAACUCAAAGGAAUUGACGGGGGCCCG
rnacentral:rRNA from 1 species